rnacentral:rRNA from 1 species
CAACGCCGCGUGAGUGAAGAAGGAUUUCGGUUCGUAAAACUCUGUUGUAAGGGAAGAACAAGUACAGUAGUAACUGGCUGUACCUUGACGGUACCUUAUUAGAAAGCCACGGCUAACUACGUGCCAGCAGCCGCGGUAAUACGUAGGUGGCAAGCGUUGUCCGGAAUUAUUGGGCGUAAAGCGCGCGCAGGUGGUUUCUUAAGUCUGAUGUGAAAGCCCACGGCUCAACCGUGGAGGGUCAUUGGAAACUGGGAGACUUGAGUGCAGAAGAGGAUAGUGGAAUUCCAAGUGUAGCGGUGAAAUGCGUAGAGAUUUGGAGGAACACCAGUGGCGAAGGCGA